UUUGCCCCAAUUCUCAUCUUUCCAUUUGUUCCUCUCUCUCUCUCGUUUUUCGUGUGUAGUUGAAGAUCAUGGAGAAUCAACCGGAUAAGAUGGCACAAGGCCAUACAACAAUGGUAGGAGAUUCAGCAUCUAGUGGACUGAAAAUUAUCAUAAGAAGAAGAGCUAAAUCUGUUUCUGCUGUUGAAAAACAGGUUAUCAACGAAAAAGUUCUUCAUACCCUUGGCACGGAUAAGACAUAUGAAAAGACAGUAAACAGAGUCGGUCUUGUUUCUCACCACGAUAGUAUGAUCAUGCAUGAAGCAGGUGGAGAGCACGAUGAGUGACCUCAGAGAAUCAUCUCCAUCUGGGAUUUGGUAGAGAAAAAAGGGCUGGAUAAGCGGUGUGAAGUAAUCAAAUGUGUGAGGGCAAAAAAUGAAUUGAUCCUGAAACUGCACUCAAAGGAGCAUCUGGACUUCAUGAAGGCUCCAUGUUCUAGAACCAAUGCUGUAAAAAAGAAUAGCUACAGAAAUAAUGACGUCUAUUUUAAUAGAUCUACUUCUGAGGCUGCAUUUAUUGCGGUCCGUUGUUGAGGCUGCCAAGAGAGUGGCAAAGGAUUUGGAUUAUGCGGUGGCCUUGGUAAGGCCUCCCGGUCAUCAUGCCGUAGAAGAUCAGCCAAUGGGUUUUCGUUAUUUCAAUAACGUCGCUGUUGCUGCCCAAUGCCUCUUAGAUGAGCCUAAAAAUGGAAUAAAGAAAAUUCUGAUUGUGGACUGGGAUGUCAACCACGGAAACGGGACACAAGAUUUGUUCUAUCAGAAUCCCAUGUACUGGUCUUUUCAGUACACAGAUACCAAGACAAAUUUUUUCCUGAAACUGGAUCACACACUGAAAUAGGAGAAGGGCCUGGCUUGGGUUUCAACGUCAAUGUCCCGUGGAAACAGAAUGGGAUGGGCGAUCGUGAAUACUUUCUCGUCUGGGAUUCAAUUUUACUCCCAAUUAUUAGGGAUUUCAAACCUGAUGUCUGUUUAGUAUCAGCUGGCUUUGAUUCAGUGUAUUUUUCUGUGUAGCUAUUGGAGAUCGUUUGGGAGAUUGCUGCGUCUCACCUUAUGGGUUUUCGGUACUCACCAAAAAGCUUAUGGACGUGAAUGCGAAAAUGCUGCUUGUCUUGGAGGGUGGUUACAACAACACCUCCACUGCGAAAUGUGCGGUCGCCUGUUUGGAAACGUUGCUUAAUGACACUGUUAUUGAGAAUCCACUCAACUCCGUGAUCGAAAGCAUUGAAGAUGUUCGCAGUGUAUUGCUGCCAUACUGGUCAUGUCUUGGAAAAGACGCCAACAGUAACCCGGAUGAGGUUACCUCACUAAAGCAGGAAAAUGCCAGGCAGGCUACAAGAAUCUUAGAGCUCGAAGCAAAACUAAAAAGAGUUCAGGAAAACCCCAGCCAGGCAUCAAGAGUACUAGAACUAGAAGCGAAGUUACAAGAGAUUCAAAAAAAUUCGAAAUUGUAAACACGGUCACCAUUAUUGUGAAUUUAAGUUUAAUCUUCUUAUAUCUGUAAGUGUUGUUGGCGAGUUAAAUUUUCGGGUAUCAACACCUAGCUACUCAACAACGCUAUUUGUGAAGCAUAUGCCAUUUCCCUGUUUCAAGUCUCAGUAGUUUAGCAGAUGUCGUCACAUGAAAAUAAUAACAAAAUGUAUUUUGUGCGCUCAGUCUAAAAGGGUGAUAUGUUAAUAGGGAGUUUGGUGUGUUUACUGCCAUUGCCAUUGUUGCUACAACAUUUGGAAUGGAAUUUUCCCGAGAUUCUGAUUGACAA